GAGCCUUUCGGUUUGAGGGCCAGACGCCGGUCAUAUCACAAUUGAAUGUGGAGGUUUCAGAGUAAUAUUUUUUUCGUUAGAAAAGUUAAAAUUGGCAAAAGAGGCACGUGAGAACCACAUUGAUUAGUUCGGUCCUUGUAGGGUCCAUGUUAGCGAGCACAAUCUAAAAAAGGAUCAUGCCAUUCGUCUGAUUGACGCGUGGUUACCAGCAAUCGCAUGUGGGACGGUGCACCGGAUAAUGACACUUUCUUUGUGACUUUGUGUGCCGUGGCCUCUCGUUCCACUCCCACCCAGUCCCAACAUGACCAUUUUUCUUGUUAUUUUAUUGCUAGUUUUUUUUUUUUAAUCCAUAGAGAACAUC